rnacentral:rRNA from 1 species
UACGGGGGGUGCAAACGUUGCUCGGAAUUAUUGGGCGUAAAGCGCACGUAGGCGGUCUUGUAAGUCGGGUGUGAAAGCCCGGGGCUUAACCCCGGAAGUGCACUCGAAACUGUAAGGCUUGAGUAUGGAAGAGGGUCUCGGAAUUCCCGGUGUAGAGGUGAAAUUCGUAGAUAUCGGGAGGAACACCAGUGGCGAAGGCGGAGACCUGGGCCAAUACUGACGCUGAGGUGCGAAAGCGUGUGGAGCAAACAGG